UGAGGAAUCUUCCACAAUGGGCGAAAGCCUGAUGGAGCAACGCCGCGUGCAGGAUGAAGGCCUUCGGGUCGUAAACUGCUUUUAUGGGUGAAUAAUAUGAAUGUAACCCUUGAAUAAGCACCGGCUAACUACGUGCCAGCAGCCGCGGUCAUACGUAGGGUGCAAGCAUUAUCCGGAGUGACUGGGCGUAAAGAGUUGCGUAGGUGGUUUGUUUAGUGAAUAGUGAAAUCUGGUGGCUCAACCAUACAGACUAUUAUUCAAACUGACAAACUCGAGAGUAGCAGAGGUAACUGGAAUUUCUAGUGUAGGAGUGAAAUCCGUAGAUAUUAGAAGGAACACCAAUGGCGUAGGCAGGUUACUGGGCUAUUUCUGACACUGAGGCACGAAAGCGUGGGGAGCGAACC
rnacentral:rRNA from 1 species